UCAGAGACCUUGGUUAAAACACAUAGUGCCAAGAAGGUGAGCAAACAUAUUAAGAACAGUAUGCCAUAUAUGCCAGGUCCCUUGAAACAGCAAGCAUGGACCGGCUCCCGGCAUGCUCCAAUUGCUAUGUUGGCAAAGAUGGGGAAGCCAAGCUUCCCACUGCUUAGAAAAGCCUGUGUAGGAGAAGAGAAUGAAUCAACACAGACUCAGCAUUGAGAACAGAGGAGAGCAUGAUCUGACAGUGUAUCAGUACCUGAAGCCAAUCUUGGUUUUAUGACUAUAUUCCUCUUUUUGGGCAUAAGCUAUGUUGAGGUGAGUUUCUAGUGCAAUGUAUUUCUCUGAACUGGCAGCCUUGAAUUAAAUAUUCUAGAUCUUAUAUGACUGAGAAAUGUAUGCCAAAGAUCCCAGGAUUCAUGGUAAAAUCCCUUGGUUGGGGCUUCUGCUGAGUCAAGAUUCCCCAGCAUCUCCUCCUGGCCCACCUCUCUGUCCUGGUUACAUAUGGUUAUAGCAUCCAUUUUCUAGUGACUACUUUGUGCAAAGCACCACACACAGCUGUUCCGGAAAGAAUUCUGCUGAUAGACCUUGACCUCUGCAGAACAGGAGUAGGGACCACACAGUUCCAUUAACAGCGAAAGAGAUGUGGCCAGUGAUUUGGACAAUAAUUACAAUGUGCACUUUGUUUUCCUGUCUGCCUCAUGCUAUUGCUCUGUCAAAGGUGCUGUACUUAAAGAAGCUGGAGAUAAAAACCAGUGAGGAGUCUUGGAUUUUACAAAUAAAUUUGGAAAAAGAGAGGAGUUGAAAAUAAUGAUGAAUGAACAAAUGAAAGAAAAGCACAUAAGAUGUCCUAGGCCUUGUCAGUCAAGGAAUAUGAGUUGUAACAACUUAGGGAGGUGAGAAGAGCUAUUACCACUACAGCUUUGGCCUCUUUCAAACUCCAUCUUCUGUCAACUGUGGUUCAGGAAAGGAUAUGACACUCAGAAACUUUGGUACUUUCUGGAGCGUCCUCAGAGGACAUCAAGUUUUAGCUUUACAUGUGACCUUGCCUCUUCUCAUAGAAAGCUUAAUAUCUGCAAUAAAGCAGAAUUUGUGUCUGAAUGCUUACCCAGACUCUGCUCCAGACUCCAUGACUCAGGUCAACCGCCAACCCAAAACGGGCAGCUGACCAAGGCCCAGCAUUUCCUCCCGAAACCAUCUGUAUAAGAAGAAACCACAGUUGAGCAACUCAGGACUUAAAGGGCAAGAUUAUGUUCACCAACUUGCUGAAUGAAAAGAAUGAUUGGAAUAUUUUAAUGCAUCUUAAAUUUGUAAUAGAUUCUGUUCCUGAAGCAACACAUUAUUUCACAGCAUCUGGAGAUGGAGGAAGGACUACAGCUUGUCGUUAUUCCUUGGCCCCGCUCUAUCAUAUGUCUACACGGGAACAUCUCAGCAGGUGCCAUCUGUCCCUGUUUCCAAUGUGAUGCACACACUUAACAGCAAUAUUGCACAAGACAGGGACAGACCGGAGCCGAUUCAGGUGUCUUUUUAAAGAGAUGAAUUCCUAUGCCCUGGGUCAAUGUGUAAUAUAAAAUUCAGGACGGGUGAGAGAGGGAUCUUUCUUUUGUAAAGAGAAGGGGGAUUGUGAAAAGGAUGGUGGGAAAUAACAGCAGGCAUAGUGGUAACCCUGAUUCCAGCCUUAGAUCCAUUUUAGGCAAAAGUACCUCUGGAAGUCAAGGAUCCCCUUUAAAUGGAUCCCUUCAAACUGUCCAUGCCUGCACACCCCGCGAAGCCCCAGCUUAAAGACCACUAUCUUAAGUCACCCUUCUGAUCACCACCUUGCUGGUUAGAAGCAACAUGACAAGGAACAGAGGCAGUUUUAAGAGGGUGAUUGAGGUUCCUGGCUGACAGCCAUCAAGGAAAUGAGGACCUGAGCCCUGUAACCACAAGGAGCUGAAUUCUGCUAACAACCUGAGUCAGCUUGGAAAAAGAUUUAUCUGUAGAAUCUCUAGGAAGGAAUGCAGUCCCAUCAGCACAGGAUUUCUGCCUCUCUGGGCCUCUGCACAGAGGACUCCAUUGAGCCAUGCCAUUACCUGGAUUUCUGACCUGCAGAAUGAUGAGAUAACCAGUGGGCGUGUUUUUUUAAGGCACUUAGUUUGUGGUAAUUUGCUAUGGCAACAAUAGAAAAUAAGUACAGCACUCUACAAUUAUUUGACCUUAUUUUCUUUCAUUUUUUUUUAAAAAUAUAUUUUAUUGAUUUUUUUACAGAG